rnacentral:ribozyme from 1 species
CAACAUAACAGAAAUCAAAAAGUACAAUAUACGAAUAGAAGGAAAACAACAAGUACAUUAAUAGGAAUGAAUCACAACAACACCUAUUUCUUUCUUUUUUUCAACUUUUUUUUCUACUUCACACUUU